UGGGGCCUGUUGGCUGGUUGCAUAUCGGA
rnacentral:piRNA from 1 species